rnacentral:rRNA from 1 species
UACAGAGGGGGCAAGCGUUGUUCGGAAUUACUGGGCGUAAAGGGCGCGUAGGCGGCCCGCUAAGUCGAACGUGAAAUCCCCGAGCUCAACUCGGGAACUGCGUCCGAUACUGGCGGGCUUGAAUCCGGGAGAGGGAUGCGGAAUUCCAGGUGUAGCGGUGAAAUGCGUAGAUAUCUGGAGGAACACCGGUGGCGAAGGCGGCAUCCUGGACCGGCAUUGACACUGAGGCGCGAAAGCUAGGGGAGCAAACGGG